rnacentral:rRNA from 1 species
AAAGUCAAUAAGUUUUUUAUACACACCCGUUCCCAUACCGAACACGGAAGUUAAGCUCUCUAGCGCCGAUGGUAGUUGGGACCUUGUCCCUGUGAGAGUAGGACGUCGCCAAGCA